rnacentral:rRNA from 1 species
CAGCCGCCGCGGGAAUACGAGGGGGGCAAGCGUUGUUCGGAAUUAUUGGGCGUAAAGGGUGCGUAGGCGGCUUGACAAGUCUUGUGUGAAAUCUAUGGGCUCAACCCAUAGUCUGCACGGGAAACUGUCGGGCUUGAGAAUGGGAGAGGUGAGUGGAAUUUCCGGUGUAGCGGUGAAAUGCGUAGAUAUCGGAAGGAACACCUGUGGCGAAAGCGGCUCACUGGACCAUUUCUGACGCUGAUGCACGAAAGCUAGGGGAGCAAACAGGAUUAGAUACCCCAGUAGUCCCUGUCUCUUAUAC